AAUGGUAAUUAGUUUAAACUAAAAUAACUGAUUUCGACUCAUUAGAUUAUGGUAAUCCAUAAUUACCAAU
rnacentral:tRNA from 2 species